rnacentral:rRNA from 1 species
AUUGAACGCUGGCGGCAGGCCUAACACAUGCAAGUCGAACGAGUGGCGGACGGGUGAGUAAUGUCUGGGAAUCUGCCUGAUGGCGGGGGAUAACUACUGGAAACGGUAGCUAAUACCGCAUACCAUCGGAUGUGCCCAGAUGGUAUUAGCUAGUAGGUGGGGUAAAGGCUCACCAAGCCGACGAUCCCUAGCUGGUCUGAGAGGAUGACCAGCCACACUGGGACUGAGACACGGUCCAGACUCCUACGUGAGGCAGCAGUGGGGAAUAUUGCACAAUGGGCGCAAGCCUGAUGCAGCCAUGCCGCGUGUAUGAAGAAGGCCUUCGGGUUGUAAAGUACUUUCAGCGGGGAGGCGUUACCCGCAGAAGAAGCACCGGCUAACUCCGUGCCAGCAGCCGCGGUAAUUC